GGAGACAAAGACGGGAGGAAAGAAAUGAAACGAGAGGAAGGUAAAAGGAGCAGCAGAAAGAUAAGGUAAGGGGAUACCAACGGACGAUGGAGGUGCCGCCACCGCCACCGCCCCCGCCCCGCACGACGGAGAAGGAGAGCAGAGCAUGGCACUGGCGACGCAGCCGCCUCGGCUCCGCGUCGGCAUCGGAGCGGCCCCCGCGGCACACCGGCCUCCGAGCCCCAGCAUCCGGGCGCGCGGUGGCGGGAGGAGGAGGACGCGGUCUGUGUCCGUAGCGGCGGCCGCGGCGGAGGGGAGGGCGGCCGUGAAGGGGGCGGCGGCGGAGGUGGUGCGGGAGUUCUACGAGGGCGUGAACCGGCGCGACCUGGCGGCGGUGGCGCCGCUGAUCGCGGAGGGGUGCGUGUACGAGGACCUGGUGUUCCCGCGGCCCAUGGUGGGGCGGGACCGCGUGGUGGGCUUCUUCGGCGAGUUCAUGGGCUCCGUCAGCCCCGACCUCCGCUUCGUCAUCGACGACAUCUCCGGCGAGGAUCCCUCCGCCGUCGGCGUCACCUGGCACCUCGAGUGGAAGGGGCGGCCGUUCCCGUUCAGCAGGGGCUGCAGCUUCUACCGCUGCGAGCCCGACCCGCAGCGGCCGCAGCAGAUUCAGAUCGUGUAUGGCCGUGACUGCGUGGAGCCGGCGACCAAACCCGGUGAACUGGCGCUGGUUGUCAUCAGGGGAGUCACCUGGAUUCUGGAGCGCUUCCCUAGCCUUGCCGACAGGCUCUGACUCGAUGCUCACAGAACUCGAACCUACCUAGAUGAUUCAUGGUUGUAACGGGGUACAACUCUCUCGUCUUGACAUGCCAUGCGUGCAGGCAUCUUUGGUUCUCAGUUGCUCCAUGGAACACCUUAAAUAGAAGGCAAACUACUUCAACUCUUACUCAAUCCGCUAAGAAUUUCUCUUACUUUGCACAUCUUCAAGUGAUUGUGUAAAUCAAUUGUGCAUGCCCCUCCUUGGCAUCAAGUAUGAUAUUGUAAGCCCACAUUCUCCUUUUGUAACAAUCAUAUCUGUUAGAUUAUCUCCCACGGAACGAUCACAUCGAACCAGACGAACACACGUGUCGUUUUUUAUGCAUGUGAUCUAUCCUGAGGGCGAAUAUCCCAACAAUAUCCUCAUAGAGAGCCACAUAUUUGAAAA